ACCAUGAGCUACCGUCCUUUUUUUACCAAACUUCUCUUGCUGUCUGUGUUUCUAAGGACACAUUCGGAACUCGAUGGCAGCAAUGAUCUCGAAGAUGAAAUAUCCGCAUCACUUACUGAUACAAUAGAGAAGAACUUUCUUAACGGAAGGACGACCGGCAAGAGCAGCACAAAUCCAACCUUAACUUCUACAAUGACAUCAACAAAUACUUCUAGUACUCAGAAAAUACCUAUACGAUAUCCAUUUAUGGUAUCCAUACAGAUAAUUGAGAACGGAAAGUACAAACAUCUAUGCGGUGGCACAAUUCUGAACAAAUAUUUUGUGAUAACAGCGGCCCACUGUACUUUAUUGCCUCAACAGCUCUAUGCCAAAAAUUUGUUUGUGAUCGGUGGCUCUAAUAUGCUCUACGAUAGAAAGUCAAUUCGUUUCCGUGUGCGGGAGUUGAAAAGGCAUCCAAAAUUCCAGCCAUUCCAUGAUUUUCAGCAAUCGAUUUUAGGCAGAGUUACAGAGUAGAUAAAGACUUACACUUAAUUUUACUUGGCUGGGGCCGCACUAAAGUCCAAACGCCCAAGAAUAUAGAAGUUGUGCAUUUUCGUACCAUGUCCAAUGCAAAAUGUUUUGUGAAUUAUAAAUUUAAAUACUUGAAAAAUGGGGACAUCUGUGCUAAUAACACAAAGGGAGACCGAGGAGCCUGUGAUGGUGAUUCCGGUGGACCACUAAUCGAUGAGCAGCUAAAUUAUCUACAUGGUGUACUCUCCUAUGGCCGCAAGCCCUGUGUGAAAGGUAGAAUUUAUGUCUUCACAAGGAUGAGCGAAUAUAUCGGUUGGAUCAAAAGACAAAUGGGGAAAAUGACGGUGAAGAAACCAAUUCGUAGAUAGGUACAUAUACCAGAAAGAUUUCCACCUCUCUCUGUUUUCGCUUAAUAUAUUCAACUUAAUUCCCAAUUGACACUUUCAAAACGUUUCAAAAUGCAAAUAAAAGAAGUCACUUAAAAAAUUA
rnacentral:misc_RNA from 1 species